rnacentral:lncRNA from 1 species
AUCACGACCCUUUCAUGUGAAAUCUUUAGUGUUGUGAGUCCUUAAAAGAGACAGAAAUCGUGCAUUCGGGGAGCUCGGAUUUUAAGACAGUAGCUUGCCGACGUUCCCAGCUGAAUAAAGCCCUUCCUUCCACAACUCAGUGUCUGAGAGGUUUUGUCUGCAGCUCGUCUUGCUACAAUACCACAAUCUACUCUAUCAGCUGUCCAUCAAGAAUUCAAUGACUACUUAUUGGAAGAGAAGUCUCCAGCAGCCAUGGAGGAGCUAUUCUCUAACACUGCUUAGAAAGUGGAUCUGUGUGGCCCAAGUGGUAGACUGUGCUCACCAGGAAAACAAGUACUCAGAUCUACUGCUUCUGGGAAAUCUGCAUAAUUGACCAAUGGCCUCAGUGCUACCCCACUGUUAUAAAAUGCACAGGAGACAAGGACUAGAAAGAGAAACCUUCAACAUAUAUAAGACAUGUUUUUCCUUCCAGACAUUUGCCAGGUUAUGAAGCCACAUGUGGUUAAAAUCUAAUAAGCUAAACUCAAAAUAUGCAAAGGCUAGAACUUCCAGGAAGAUGUAACAAAGAUCUGCCAAGUCCAGUGAAGUUGAUACCUCAGUGGUCGUGGGCUGGACCUGAAAGGCAGUGUGAAAUAUUGAGAGGCAUAGUCCUCCUUAAAGCAGAACCCUGCAGCAUGUAUACCAAAGUCACAUCUUCAAAGCUAAUCGCUGUGACCUGUUAUUGAAACAGACAUUUUACUAUGACAUUGAGGUGACCUCUCAUGCCUUUCACCUGUUAACACAGGAGUGGACAGAUACUCACAGGAAAUAAAUAAUGAACUCAGUAGAAAAAAAGACCUAUGAACUGAAAGAGAAUACAAUAGAAAUUAUAUUUAGUAAAGCACAAAGAGAAAAAUGAGUAACAAGAAGAGAACUUUCUAUAUGAUGCAUAUGGAACACAGUCAAGUAAAGACUAAGCAGAGCAUCAUAACAGCCUAUAUGUGGAAACUUCUCUAUUCAUUUAUUACAUUACAUUUGUUUGUAUCCUUUAAUUGUACCCUUACUUUUUAUCCUGUCAGCUUUAUUCUUUCUGGCCAGUAUCAUUUAUGUAAAAAUUGAUAGGUAGGACUGGCUGGGCGCAGUGGCUCACGUCUGUAAUGCCACCACUUUGGGAGGCCGAGGCAGGCGGAUCACCUGAGGUCAGGAGUUUGAGACCAGCCUGGCCACAUGGUGAAACCCUGUCUCUACUAAAAAUAAAAAAAUAAUAAAAAUAAAAAAAAUAGCUGAGCAUGGUGGCGGGUGCCUGUAAUCCCAGCUACUUGUGAGACUGAGACAGGAGAAUCGCUUGAACCUGGGAGGCGGAGUCGCAGUGAGCCAAGAUCAUGCCACUGUUUUCCAGCCUGGGAGACAAGAGCAAAACUCCAUCUCAAAAAAAAAAAAAAUUAAUAGGUAGGACUAACCAGAUGUAUUUCUAUCAAUAUUAUUUUUAAUAUUUUUCUUUUUAAUCAAAAUUUAAAAGUAAAAAUAUGCAUAGGGAAAAUGAGACUAGUAUUUAUUUAUUAGCUAUUUAAUUUCUACCAACUCUAUUAAAUCUUUUGGAAUGUCUUAAAGUAUAAUUUAUAUUUUAGUUUGGAUAAAGACAUAGCUAUAUAUUAACAUGAAUAUGAAGUUAUAUAUUGAUUUAUAUUAUAUUUCCUAUAAAAUCACAUAAUACAUAGUAAGAAUGUAUAAGAUGAUACAAGUCAAAUCAUGGAUGCUUGGAGAUCUUGUGAUGAAGCCUGUUCUUCCCUUGGUAGCUGGGCAUGAUGUGGCCCAUCUUCAUGCUAGGCCAGCAUUCCCUUGCUUCUGUAUACCUAAUUUCUCCUUCUCAGAUGCACUCCCAACAAUGUAUGCAGAAAGCUAAAAAAAUGAAUGAGUGUAGUUAAUAAGAUGCUAUUGAAACUGAGCCCCAAAUCUAGCUCUGAGCACAAUGAUAGCUAAAACUUAAGGAGAGGCAGAUCAAAUAGAUUUCAUCACCAAAGCACAGAAGCAUAUUUGUUCAACAACAGAGCUUUGCAUUUACAAAAGAGAAAAGAGCAUGUUUGGGGUAAUUUAUUUUGAAAUUGCUCUGUCAAAAGCUAAUUUCAUUUUGUUCCAUGAGGCCAAUUUGGCUCAUAUGUUUGUGCUUUGAUAAAGGCAUAGGAAUAAUAUUAAAAUUGUUGCAACUCUACGGAGAUUAUAAAACUUUCUCAAGGCAAAUUUCUUGUCUCUGGAAAGAAAGAAUGGUGAAUAAUGAAUGACGGAAAUUUGAAAAUGAAUUCGUUCAACAAACACUUAUUGAGUGAAUGCUGUGUGCCCGAUGCGUUAAGUCUAAAUCAUCUAGUGCUGCAGUGAGUGAGCCAGGGUGAGAAAACAAUGAAAAGAGCAGACAGGUUGUUAUUCAAAAUGUCUUUUUUUUUCUCCAUGCAAUGUUUCAAAUUUGGAGAGUCAUAGUUUGUUAUUGAUCCAUCAAAUAUUAUGAACUAUAAGACCCCAAUAUACAGUGGCUUAAAAAUAGAGAUAUAUUUACCUCUCACCUAACAUACCAGGGCAUUUCCAGGUUUUAUAGUAGCUUAAUCAUGUCAGGAAACCACACUUCUUUCAUCUUCUACUCCUCUAUCCCUAUAGGCCUUUGCCUAUCAUGUGAAAAAGAGUGUUAACCAGUGGGAAAAAUAAAAAAGAAAAAAGGGAAGAGUAAUUCAUAUCAUUUGAAUUAAAUAACCUAGAAUUUGCACACAUCAUUUCUGCUUCUAUCCUUUUAACCAAAAUAGGAAGUUACGGAACACCUACUGAAGGAGCUGGGCAUAGAGUUUUGCUGGGUAGCCAGGCAGGUUAUUCUUCCCACAAAUGAAAAACACUCAUUUUUAAUGCAAUAACACAGGGAUCUGUGUUACAGGGUAACACGCAGAUCUAUUCAUUCACUAUCGCAAGGUAAAUCCCACAAUUUUUUUUUUUUGAUAAGUAAUUCCACUAGGGGUUUUUAUUUUGGUUUUUUUUUUUUUUUUUUUUUUUUUUUUUUUUUUUUGGACAGAGUCUCGCUUUUCACUCUGUCACCCAGGCUGGAGUGCAGUGGCAUGAUCUCGGCUCACUGCAACCUCGUCCUCCCAGGUUGAAGCAAUUCUCUGGCCUCAGCCUCCCGAGUAGCUGGGACUACAGGCACGUGCCUCCAUGCCCGGCUAAUUUUUUGUAUUUUUUUUAAGUAGAGACAGGGUUUCAUCGUGUUUGCCAGGAUGGUCUCAAACUCCUGACCUCGUGAUCUGCCCGCCUUGGCCUCCCAAAAUGCUAGGAUUACAGGCGUGAGCCACCGCGCCCGGACACCAGCAGGUUUUUGACUCAUGGGCUAAAUCAAAUCCUCUCCGAUAUAAAAUAUAAUAGAGAAUAGGAAUAUGGUCACUACCAUAAUACUCUCAUUUGGAAAAUGGAAGAAUAAGAAACAAACAUCCUCUUUUCUAAAGUAAAUUAAUACAUACAUGUGAAAAGUAUCUGCUCUGCUACUCAAGAGAUUUUCCUUGAUGAAUAUUUAUGGCAGUUCUGGGUUUCGCUCUCUUGAACGUUUUUCUCUGCUUAGAAACUUCUUGGCCACAUCUGAGAUUGGACUGAGAAAGAAAAAUUAUGUCCUUAAAACCUGCCUAACAUUUACCCAAGUCAUUGUAGUUUGUUGUUCAUUUAUUUAGGUAAUAAUACACUUGCUGCAAAAC